GGCGUACCUUUUGUAUAAUGGGUCAACGACUUGGUCUUACUAGCAAGCUUAAGCCGUUAGGUGUAGGCGCAGCGAAAGCGAGUCUGAAUAGGGCGCAUGAGUUAGUAGGAUCAGACCCGAAACCGAGUGAUCUAGGCAUGUCCAGGAUGAAGGUUCGGUAAUACGAACUGGAGGUCCGAACCCACACCUGUUGAAAAAGGUCGGGAUGAGGUGUGCCUAGGGGUGAAAGGCCAAUCAAACUCGGAGAUAGCUGGUUCUCCGCGAAAUCUAUUUAGGUAGAGCGUCAGACGAAUACUCCCGGGG
rnacentral:rRNA from 1 species